rnacentral:rRNA from 1 species
CCUACGGGAGGCAGCAGUGGGGAAUUUUGGACAAUGGGCGCAAGCCUGAUCCAGCUAUUCCGCGUGUGGGAAGACGGCCUUCGGGUUGUAAACCACUUUUGUAGAGAACGAAAAGUCUAUUGCUAAUACCGAUAGAUGAUGACGGUACUCUAAGAAUAAGCACCGGCUAACUACGUGCCAGCAGCCGCGGUAAUACGUAGGGUGCGAGCGUUAAUCGGAAUUACUGGGCGUAAAGGGUGUGCAGGCGGUUUUGCAAGAUGGAUGUGAAAGCCCCGGGCUUAACCUGGGAAAGCCAUACAUGACUGCAAGACUAGAGUGCGUGAGAGGGGGGUGGAAUUCCAAGUGUAGCAGUGAAAUGCGUAGAUAUUUGGAAGAACACCGAUGGCGAAGGCAGCCCCCUGGGACGCAACUGACGCUCAUACACGAAAGCGUGGGGAGCAAACAGGAUUAGAUACCCUUGUAGUC